rnacentral:misc_RNA from 1 species
UUUCCGUAGGUGAACCUGCGGAAGGAUCAUCAACAAAACAAUUCAAAAAUUCAAAACAAAAAAAACACCAAUUUCAUUCCAAAAUUAUAUUGGAAUGUUUUUUUAAUGGGGAUGUGGAGAUUUCUAAUUAGAUUUUUUUUAAUUAGAUUUUUCUCAUGCCCCAUCAUUUAAAACUAAACUCCUAAAAUUAAAUUAAAAAAUUAUUCUAAAAAAAUUUUAAAAUAUAAAAAUAGAGACAACUUUUAACAAUGGAUCUCUUGGCUCUC